CUCCUGUCUCAGCCUCCCGAGUAGCUGGGUUUACAGGCGCUCACCACCACGCCCAGAUGUUUUUCUAUUUUUAGUAGAGACAGCGUUUCGCCGUGUUGGCCAGGCUAGUCUCAAACUCCUGACCUCAAUUGAUCCGCCUGCCUCGGCCUCCCAAAGUGCUGGGAUUGAUUACAGGUUUGAGCCACCGUGCCCAGCCUGAUUUUUUAUUUUUUGUAAAGAUGGGGUCUCAAGUUGUUACCCAGACUGGUUUCGAACUCCAGGGCUUAGGCUAUCCUCCUGCCUCAGCCUCCUGCAGUGCUGAGAUUACACAUGUGAGCCACCACACCCAGCCUCCAUUUGUUUGUUUAUUUCAGACAGGGUCUCCCUUUGUCACCCAGGCUGGAAUGCAGUAACGCGAACGUGACUCGCUGCAGCCUCGACCUCCCGGCUCAAGCAAUUCUGUUACCUUAGCCCCUAAAGUAGCUGGAACUACAGGCACACGCCACCAUGCCUGGCUAAUUUUUGUGUUUUCUGUAGAGACAGAGUUUUGCCAUGUUGCUCAAGCUGGUCUUUAGCUCAAGAGAUCCACCAACCUCAGCCCUCCCAAAGUGCUGGGAUUACAGGCAUGAGCCACUGUGCCCAGCCUCCAUUCAUUUUUAACUGAUGAACUUCUUACAGUUGAGAAUCAAGUUGGUGUUAGUAAUUUGGUAUUAAUAAUUUGCUGGCCUUAAGUUUUUAUUUUUACAGGUUUUUUUUUUUUUUACCAUAGUGCUGUUUAGUUUUAUAUAAGGAGUAGAGCAUUUAUAAGUCACUGAUUUAUGUAUUUGUUUGAAAAUGUAUUUGUAGAUUUUAAAGUCAAUAUCAGGUAAAUCAGAAAAAAAGGGAAACUAAUCAUAAGUGGGAAGUGAGGCAUUUAGAAUGAAGCUAGGCUUCUGAUGGGCUCUCGUUGACUCCAGGAUUUCUGUAGGGGCCUGAAGCCAGGCAGAUAAAUAGUUGCUUGCUUUUUGUUUGUUUGUUUCUUUAUUUCUCCAAUUGUUUUAGCUAAAUCCAUCUCCUAAAUGUGUUUUAUAUUAAUAUGAUGUGUCUCAAUUAGUGGUGGUUUUUUUUUUUUUAAUACAGACUAACAAAAAAACUUGAAGAAAGGAGAGAAGAGAAAAGAAAAGAGGAAGAACAGAGAGAAAUUAAGAAGGAAAUUGAGAGGAG
rnacentral:lncRNA from 10 species